AUGUUCCCUCAAGCGUUCAUCCGAGACAAGACAGGUCGCAGUAUAAAAGCUUCCUGCAGGCUGGAGCCUAUUUUUGCUGGCUGCUAUUGAGGCUGUUUGGAGCUACUGCUGAGGUUCACAACUCUGUAGAAGAUAGUUGCCUGGCAGCGGGAAUGAUCAUCAGACUGGGAAGACUGACUCCAGGUUACUUUCGCCUCCUCCAGCGGCAGAUGUCCGGAGAGGUCAGGAUGCAGCCACCCAGCAGCUUCGUCAACCCGUUGGCCGCGACCUUGGCGGCAACCGGCUCCAGUGUGAGUCUCUACAGCGCCGCCAGGAUGCGACUGGAUCGGAAUGCCCAUUUCUGAUUGAUAGAGUUGAAGCACGGACCCUAGAAAUGUGACGGAAAGUGUUUUUGAGGGUUGAGAUUGUCGGAGAUUGAAGGUGGAAGUUCACUAUGAAGGUUUUUGUAAUGUCAAAGGAAUUUUAACAAGAAUGUUUUUUUUGUUUUUUUUAUAUGGACUACAGCACAUUCAGUGAACCGGUGUUUAUUCCUUCAAUAGAUAAGAUUACUACGUAUUUUGAGAAAAAUUCCACACGGUUUAAGCGCGUGGUUGAUAAUUAAAACAUACUUUUUACAGUAUUCCUUCAUGCUUGUUCUCACUGUUGAUUGUGCCAGUCAACAAAUAAACAUCCAAACAUGAUACUGCACUGGACAGCUGAUGAUCUUAAGAACUCACUUCAUUCUCACCCUUUACAACAGGGAUCUAAACUCAAUUCAUUAGGGGGCUACUGGCAAUAAGAGGAUCAAGGAUUCACCCAAAAAUAGACUAUUGUUGUUCAUUCACUUUGUCUAACUUGUUGAUAAAAGCACAAAAAGCUAUUAUCUGCUUGAGCAAUGUUCGUAAAAAUAAAACUGUAUGUAA